rnacentral:rRNA from 1 species
ACAGGGAUUGCCUUAGUAACGGCGAGUGAAGCGGCAACAGCUCAAAUUUGAAAUCUGGCCCUUGGGUCCGAAUUGUAAUUUGUAGAGGAUGAUUUUGGUGCGGUAUCUUCCGAGUUCCUUGGAACAGGACGCCUUAGAGGGUGAGAGCCCCGUACGGUUGAAUGCCUAGCCUCUGUAAAUCUCCUUCGACGAGUCGAGUAGUUUGGGAAUGCUGCUCUAAAUGGGAGGUAAAUUUCUUCUAAAGCUAAAUAUUGGCCAGAGACCGAUAGCGCACAAGUAGAGUGAUCGAAAGAUGAAAAGCACUUUGAAAAGAGGGUUAAAUAGCACGUGAAAUUGUUGAAAGGGAAGGAUUUGUGACCAGACUUUUUCUGGGCGGAUCAUCCGGGGUUCUCUCCGGUGCACUUUGCCCAGUAAAGGCCAGCAUCGAUUUUCGGCGGCGGAUAAAAGCAGUGGGAAUGUGGCUCCCUACGGGGAGUGUUAUAGCCCAUUGUAUAAUACGCUGCUGGGGAUCGAGGUACGCGCUUCUGCAAGGAUGCUGGCGUAAUGGUUAUCAAUCACCCGUCUUGAAACACGGACCAAGGAGUCGAACAUUUAUGCGAGUGUUUGGGUGUUAAACCCUCACGCGUAAUGAAAGUGAACGGAGGUGAGAGCCCGUACGGGUGCAUCAUCGACCGAUCCUGAAGUUUUCGGAUGGAUUUGAGUAAGAGCAUAACUGUUCGGACCCGAAAGAUGGUGAACUAUGCGUGGAUAGGGUGAAGCCAGAGGAAACUCUGGUGGAGGCUCGCAGCGGUUCUGACGUGCAAAUCGAUCGUCAAAUCUGCGCAUGGGGGCGAAAGACUAAUCGAACCAUCUAGUAGCUGGUUACCGCCGA